AUUGAACGCUGGCGGCAUGCCUUACACAUGCAAGUCGAACGGUAACGGGCCUUCGGGUGCCGACGAGUGGCGAACGGGUGAGUAAUACAUCGGAACGUGCCCGAUCGUGGGGGAUAACGAGGCGAAAGCUUUGCUAAUACCGCAUACGAUCUACGGAUGAAAGCAGGGGACCGCAAGGCCUUGCGCGGACGGAGCGGCCGAUGGCAGAUUAGGUAGUUGGUGGGAUAAAAGCUUACCAAGCCGACGAUCUGUAGCUGGUCUGAGAGGAUGAUCAGCCACACUGGGACUGAGACGCGGCCCAGACUCCUACGGGAGGCAGCAGUGGGGAAAUUUGGACAAUGGGCGCAAGCCUGAUCCAGCCAUGCCGCGUGCAGGAUGAAGGCCUUCGGGUUGUAAACUGCUUUUGUACGGAACGAAAAGCCUUCUUUUAAUACAGGAGGGUCAUGACGGUACCGUAAGAAUAAGCACCGGCUAACUACGUG
rnacentral:rRNA from 1 species